GGUAGUCUCGCACAGAUGCAUAUCAAUAAGCGGAGGAAAAGAAACUAACAAGGAUUCCCUUAGUAACGGCGAGUGAAGCGGGAAGAGCUCAAAUUUGAAAUCUUCAAGGUUUUACCUUGACGAAUUGUAGUUUAAAGAAGUGUUUUCUGUUGAAGUUUUGGUAAAAGUUCUUUGGGAUAGGACAUCAUAGAGGGUGAGAAUCCCGUAUUUGACCAUUAUUUCCAGCUGUGUGAUACACUUUCAAAGAGUCGGAUUGUUUGGGAAUGCAGUCCAAAAUGGGUGGUAAAUUUCAUCUAAAGCUAAAUAUUGGCGAGAGACCGAUAGCGAACAAGUACCGUGAGGGAAAGAUGAAAAGAACUUUGAAAAGAGAGUUAAACAGUACGUGAAAUUGUCAAAAGGGAAGCGUUUGACACCAGUGUUGUUUUCUCGAAAAUCAAUUAAAAAGAGUUAGAUUUUGUUGUGUAUUGACCUUAACAGCUUGCAUUUCAAUUUUCUUGCUUUUUUUAAUGCACUUUUCGUUUAACAAGUCAACAUCAGUUUCUUUUGUUGUAAAAAGGUCAUUGGAAGGUGGCCUUCUUUUCGGAGAAAGUGUUUAUAGCCUUUGACUCCUGCAAUCGGAGAGACUGAGGUCUGCAGCGUAGAUCCUUCGGGGUUAGAUAGCAUUUGUGCUAAGUUAUAGCUUUUUAUAGACAACUUGUUGACUAUGAUUAGUCUUGUAGCUUACUCGCUUAUGCUAUUUUACCUACGCUUAGGAUGUUGAGCGCAUGUCUCUCUCU
rnacentral:rRNA from 1 species